rnacentral:rRNA from 1 species
UACGUAGGGGGCAAGCGUUGUCCGGAUUUAUUGGGCGUAAAGAGCGUGUAGGCGGCCAGGUAGGUCUGCUGUGAAAACUCGAGGCUCAACCUCGAGCUGUCGGCCGAAACCAUCUGGCUAGAGUCCGGAAGAGGAGAGUGGAAUUCCCGGUGUAGCGGUGAAAUGCGCAGAUAUCAGGAGGAACACCGGUGGCGAAGGCGGUUCUCUGGGCAUUACCUGACGCUGAGGAGCGAAAAGUGUGGGGGAGCGAAACAGGAUUAGAAACC